rnacentral:rRNA from 1 species
AUGCCAGAACGCAAGAGAGGUAUCAUUGUCAAGAUAGAAUGCCCUUUCCGGUGUAAGCUAAACACAGAUGGAGUACAAUGGGUGGUCACCGACUAUUUCGAUGAACACAACCACAAACUCCUAAAGAAGUUUGAUCUAGUAAAAUUUCUGAGCGCCUACAGAGGAUUCAACCCCCUCGAGAAGAAAUAUGUAAAGUUGCUACAUGAUUGUAACAUCGGUCCAUCAAGAAUGGUCCAAAUAUUGUCCCUGAUCCACAGCGGGAUGGUGGACAUGCCCUACAUACCAACAGACGUCACAAACCUAAAGGCAAAGUACCAUAGAGAGAGCAGGUUGGCUGACAUAGAAGACACGAUAACCUACUUUGAAGAGAAAGUAAAAGUAGAUGUUAAUUUCUUCUACAGGAUAAGAUUGGACGAUGAGGACCGUGUCAGAAACAUGUAUUGGGUGGAUGGUGCUGAAAGAAGGGCCUACAAACAUUUCCGUGAUUGCAUAUCAUUCGACACGACAUAUCUCACUAAUACGUAAAAGAUGCCCUACGCUCCAUUCAUUGGAAUAAAUAACCACAAUAUGGAUGGUUACACUUGGCUAUUCAAAACCUUCUUGAAGUGCAUGGAUGGACUUGCUCUGAUGAACAUAAUAACAGACCAGGAUUUUAGCAUGCGUGCAGGCAUAGGGGAGGUCUUUCUGUUGGCAGUGCACAGGCACUGCAGGUGGCAUAUUAUUAAAAAGGCCGAGGAGAUGCUAGGACCUUUUUUUGCUACUACGCACCACAGCGAGGUGUUCAAUGCUGUUUUAUUCGAACGCGAUGGGAUUGUGUGCUGUCACAUACUGAAAGUAAUGGACAUGCACACGGUCACACGAUUGCCCCGCCAUUUCAUAAGGCGGCGAUGGACUUGGGACACUGACGAUGCGUUGGGGACACAAACAACAAAUGCAGUUUUGGCUGUGCAUGACGAGAGACCGGAGGCAACCAUGGAAAUCGUGAGGCACAUUGUGUUAACCAAUAACUAUGCUGAACUAAUAGAUGAAGCAUGCAAGAGUGAUGAGACAGCGAGGGUGGCAUAA